rnacentral:rRNA from 1 species
AGAGUUUGAUCCUGGCUCAGGACGAACGCUGGCGGCGUGCUUAACACAUGCAAGUCGAACGCUGAUGCCCAGCUUGCUGGGUGGAUGAGUGGCGAACGGGUGAGUAACACGUGGGUGAUCUGCCCUGCACUUCGGGAUAAGCUUGGGAAACUGGGUCUAAUACCGGAUAUGACCUUCUCCUUGGUUGGGGUUGGUGGAAAGCUUUUGCGGUGUGGGAUGAGCCUGCGGCCUAUCAGCUUGUUGGUGGGGUAAUGGCCUACCAAGGCGUCGACGGGUAGCCGGCCUGAGAGGGUGUACGGCCACAUUGGGACUGAGAUACGGCCCAGACUCCUACGGGAGGCAGCAGUGGGGAAUAUUGCACAAUGGGCGCAAGCCUGAUCCAGCCAUGCCGCGUGUGUG